AAGUCCGGAAGAAAGCUCUCGACGUGAUAAGUCGUCGCACGCAUUACGGUCCAUUACGCUGUUGUGCGACGACACACGGUGGACAAAGUAGCCUGCAUCGUGGUUGUUGCUUCGAACGUCUCGCUCGAUCGGUAAAUGAACAUCUAGGAACGUUUGCCACGCGAAAAAAAGAAACGAGCGUUUGCAAGAUGAGUUGACGUUUAGGUUAGGUGAGAACGUGAUAUGCUCAAGAAAAGUGAAUAAGAAUUUUUUGUGUAAUAAAUUUUACUGUUGCAUUCUGUUAUUCGCUGAGAUUUAAAAGGAUUUAAGGAAAAGUAAGGAUUUGAGAGGUUAGGGAUGCGUGAAGGAAUGCGACUAGAGAAAUCUCACUAGAGAGAAAAGUUAGUAAAUUUCUAGUCAGUUUCUGAGAAGAGAAAUUGUUGAGUGGUAAUUUUUAAAUCGAGUAAAUAUAAAAAUCAUGUCGAUUAUACUUUAUAAAGCUCGCUUAGAUCUCGUAGGAAUCUUAAACGCGAUAUAUCACGAGCGUAUCGAAGCGUGUGUUAUUUUUCGCUUCUAAUAAUUCAAAGAAGAAGGCAUGCGCUAUCUUCUGCACUGCAUACAUUCUAGCAGCCUAUAAAUCAAAAGAUUUAUUACACUCAUAAAAUCGCAGAAAAAUGUAGAUCGUCUCCAGAACUGAUGUACAACCAACGCAGAAUUUCUAUACAUUCUUGCAAUUCCAAAAGAACAAUCCUUCAUCGAAGAUGACGAUCGAUCAUCGAAACCUUUCGAAUCCGUCAUGGAUGAAUAGAUAGAAAAGCAGAGAGGGUGGGAAGGAAGCGAAAAAGCGUGAUGGUGUCACUGAUUCAACGUCGGAUGAUGGACGACAGGAUCGUGCAAAAAUGUAAUUUGUCAACUCAUGGAACGAUGUAACCGGAAAUAACCUCCUGUACCUUCCAAUACUGCUCUCGCGCAAUGAAGAUUAUGAUUGAUUCCAUCAACUUCCUUCAGGUGGUUGCAAUUCCUGUGACUUUGCAAUCGAUGGUGACUUGUUGACAAUUUUUCGAGAUCUUUGUUUUUUUUUCUUUUUUUUUUUUUGAUCGAAUAAAAUUGGAAAAACGUAAAAUUUGCGACAACAAUUUGAGAUUUUAUUUCUAGGUUAGGUCUGCUUUAUAUUUUAGACAGAUCUUUUUUUUAAGCCUCUUUUAAAGAAGAUUCGUUAAAAGAAAGAAAAGAAUAUUUCAAUGAGAAUAUCAGAUAUUUCUAUUCAAAGAACGGCGUAUAGCUCGGUGUAAAUCUAAUUUAUUAUACAUCUAUGCGGAGGAUCGAAAGAGCACGAUUUAAAUCUAAAUUCCGUGGAACUUUAUCUGUCUUAAGUUCGAUACGAAUUAAUAAUCGAAUGAAAUUACCUUCCUUCGCAAAUAUAAUUUAUUUGUUCGUUCAUUCAGAAUUGAAAGGAAGAGGAGAAACAUUGUCAUUAAUGUUAAAAAAAUCCAAGCUUCGAAAAGGAAUUGUUUUCCAAAAUGUAAAAACCUCCAUCUUAUUUCCUCACUUUCAAAUUUAACAAAAUUCCAAAACAAUUCUAAAAAUCUCCUCGAUUACAAAUUACAAAUUCAUUAAAAACACAAAACAUUUCGAAAUCCCCAAAACUUCACCACCAAUACUACCAAUCCAUCUCCAUUAAAAUAUUUUUCGACCAUCAGAAAAUACGAAUCAAUUUGUCCAUCUUUUCAAACUUCAAACUGCACCGAAACAAUCGCAAAUUCUCGAAAUUCUCUGCUAAAAAAUUCAUCUCCGUCAUUAAAAAAUCAAAUUCGAGCGGCAAACACGGGAAUAGGCGAAAGUUACUUAUGCAUAAUUGUGUUAAAACGAUCCGAGUUCCAUCGAAAUUCACCCUCCUGGCCCAGGACAAAAAGCGCGGACGAGGCGCGCGCAAAAGUAGCGAGAAACGGCGAGAUAAAUUAGCUGUUUAACUCGGUUCUCUAAUUUCCAUGCAACCGUCCAUUAAUUAAUCCAACGGCUUAAAAUAGUUGGAAUACCGGGGCUGGAUUGCGGGGGGAGGAAUUGGGUGGAGAUCGGUGUCGUGUUUUAAGGAUGGAGAAAGCCUCGUCGAAGGCUCGUCGAAGCGAGAACGAAGCGGGCGACCGCAAGCGGGGGAAGUGUGGAUCGAGUUCUCGUGGCCAGGGGUGGUUUGCUAGUUGCGUUCGGGGGUUGGGCGAGGGUGGAACGUCCUUGGUAUGCCAACCGAACACCCUGAAUAUUGGUUAGCUACGUGCCUGACCCACCGCAACCCGGCGGAUAUGUCACUUCCGCUUGCUCGACGAUUUUCCUAUAUCUCUGUCGAUGUGUGGGAGAGCCACCCCUCCCCUCCCCUCCCCUGUUUGAAUAAAGUUUCGCUCGUGACCGAGGCGAGAAGAGGAGAAGUGAAUAACGAGGGUGAUUUAUUAUUGUUUUUUUUCUAUUUUCAAAUUGUUUCUCGAUCAAUGUGCUUUAAGAGCGUUUAAAAAGCAUCCCCCUUAUCGGGAUGGAAUAAAAUUUUUGUUCGUAAAUUAAGGAAAAUUUAAUUUAUAUAUAUAUUUUUUUAUUUAUUAUUUGAAUUUCUGCACGAUACGAUACGAUACAACGGUGGACUUGUAGUAUUUCUAUAAUUAUUAUUACGUGUUAACCUUGUAUUUAUUGACCGAAAUUCAUCGACUAAAUAUUUUAAGGCGAGGUAUUAUUAGCCACUAUUUAUAUUGAUCGCCAAUCUAUUUUUAUCUUAUUGCUUCGUAUUUCCAUUAUAUUUUACUGAUCAAGCUUAGAAGGGUCUAUGUUUGUGUAAUAUUUUUUAUUCUUUUUCCAUAUCAAUUUCCUUUUAUCCAAAUUAAUUAAUUAUUUCAAGAAUAUAUAUGUAUAGAAGAAGAAAAAAUAUCUCUUUUCGCGCGGUAUUUUUUCGCAAAAAAACUUUACAAAUGUCGUUUGUAAGCCUACAAGGAAAAUUAGGUCCAAGCAGGAUCUAAAUUAUCUUAAAAAUCGGUAUUCACAAACGAGCGGUUUGAUAAUCUCACGUGGGUCAAGUUUUUAUCUCUUUCUUUCUUUUUUUUUUUUUUUUUUACCUUUUUGUAUAAACCCACGAAAUCUGUCUCGUAAAGCUGGUAUAUGAAAUAAUUCACCUGGGAUUAACUACAUGUGUAAUUUUUAUCGCAAUUUUCCAAGCGGAAUCCCUAAUUCCCUGUACUCUUUCCCACAAAGAUUUCUCCAUAUCGAGUUUCCGUGACAUCCUUUUCAUACGACCUGACAUUAUCUUUGAUUCUAAAAACAAAAAAAAAAUUUAACAUACGAAUUGAAGAAUUCGUUCAAAAGAUUUGGAAAAUUAAUCUGAACUUUUAAAAAAUUAAAGAAAAAAGAAAAGGAAUGAAAAUACAAAUCUUAAGGGCUUUAAAUAUCUGAAAAAUGCAAAGAAGAAUUGUAAGAAAUUUUUUGAGUCUAAAUUACAUUUUACGUAUAUAUAAAUUUUGUAUAAAAAUUUAAAUUUACAAAUCCACUUCAUUUCUAAAUUAAAAAAAAAUCUCAAUUAAUAAAAUCUAAUUGUAAUUUUAAUUCCUUCCAAAUCUAAAUUUCACCUUACAAUUUUCAUUUUCAUUUUCUUUCCCAAAACAAAAUCUCAAUUCUAACAGAAUAUUCUCUUCGUUAAGUUUUAUAAAUUAAAUGGCACAUCUUGCACAAUUUUCAUUCCCAAAUUUCAAAAUAAAUCUUCAACAAGAUUCUCUAUCAAAUUUUACAAAGUGUUUCAAAGUAACGACAAUCGCCAAAUUUCUAAAAUAAAUUCUUGUGAUCGAAAUUUUUAUUAAUCCCCUCUCUUCGAAACGGCAGAUCUUAUUAUCGUUCAAUCACAAAACGAUCGUGGAAAGAUUGGGGACAAAAAGAGAGAAAGACUAAGGGCAAUUUCGCGAGAAACGGUUCGAGUGGCCACGGCCUGAUUAACGCGAUUAUCUCUCUCUCCUUUUCCCUUUCUCCUCGAUCAAUUAAAUUUCCCGCGUCGCGUCGAUAUCGAAAGUAAGAAAAAUGGAAUCUAUGGAGGGAAAAAACGUUCGAUGAUCAUGCUCCUUUCUUUUCUUUUCUUUAUUUUCUUUUUUUUUAUUGGAUCCUGUGAUUAUCUCUUUAACAUCAUCCUCUUUGUCCAUCUCGACCAGUAAUAUUCUUUGUCGCGUAAUUAAAAAUGGAAUAAGAUUCCAGAGUGAUUCAUUAUGCAGGUUAAUAAAAGUUAUAGGAAUAAAAUGAAUCGAUCGAGUUUUUAAAAAUUAGUGAAAAAUAUCGAUGCAAACAAUUGAUUAAUUAUUUAUCAAAAAUAAUUAGAUUUAAAAAAGUUUGAAUUUUCAAAUAAUCCUUCUUCCUCUCGUGUUUCAUUUAUUAUUACACUCCAAUUUUACUUUCGGCGCGACAAAAACGAUCGAUCAAGGUUGAUUAAUCCUCUUUUACCCAAAUCCCACGUAAAUAGAUUUAAAUCCAAAUUACCAAUAAUCCAUCCGGAUCCGAAAUAAUCACGAAUACGUCACCCAAAAUGUUUCGUUUCGAAUCGAACUCGAUCCAUUUCCCACGAAAACGACCGUUUCGUUCCAUUCCCAUCACGAUUUCGUUUCAUUAGACCCGACUUCCGCCGGCUCCCUCUUUUUUUGUUUAACAGCCACGAAUUUCUUCCGCCUCUCCUUUCCACUCCCUGCCUCCGCCCUCGUAAACCGGGCCCUCGACUUUUCGAAAUGUCACGCGUAGGUAGCCAUUCGUAUUCCUCCUCCAGUUGGAAGUUCUUUACAUACGAUUUUUAAAAAUUCUUCGCUCCGUUGAUUUAUUUUUUCCUUUUUUUUCCCCGGUAGAUUGAUGCGUAAACGUGGACUCUGUUUCUUCGAAAAUGAUUAAUUCUGAAAGUAUACCGAAUAAGUGAUUCUUAACUCGCUUGAAAUAACGUCCGUUUUAAAAUGUAUUUAUUAUAUCUGAAAAACAAUCGGCCACGUAAUGACCAUACUCGAUGCAGGCUUCAACAAUUAUUUUCGAGCAGGCUUCCACUCCUUUCACUCCAAAACGAAGGAAGCGGGCCGAGGAAUAAUAAUCGAAUCGCGAAGAUUUCUCGUCCGUGAAAGGAACGGGGCAGCCGAAAAAGAAGGAGAGAAGCGAAACAAGAGGAAGCUGUUAACCGGAUAUUCGAGUAGGAAACGCGAGAAAGCAAGGACAAGCCGGUCCCAAAUCGGGGGAGAGUUGUUGGGAAGAGAGGAGGAGAAAAACAUGGCCACGAUUGCGGAAAGUCGCCAAUUAAGGCGAGAGGGGUAAUUCUUGAAAACUGGGACAGUGGCUGCAGCUCUUUUCUCGGGGAACACAUCUCUGCAGUUGAAGAAAGUGGCCAAGCGAAGGAGAGUUGUUCUUCUCUCUCUCUCUCUCUCUGUCCGUUCCAACCCCCGUUCGUGCCUUUAAAGGGUGGUGAGCACCCUUUGGCGAUUAUUAAUCGGUCUCCUCGGGUCUUGCUCAACCAUUUUCACUCAUUUUUCGUCGUGGCAAAGAUCGUAGCUGGAAUUGAACAACUUUCCCUUCCCUCUGACAAGAGGGAAAAGAUAUUAUUUAUUCUCGGUUAUUUUAAUCGAAGAAAGAAGGCAAUUUUUGAAAGAAUAAUAUCCAAUUUGGAGAGUGUUUAAAAUAGUGUUUCGAAAUUAAUUGAACGAUGCCAGGUUAAGAAGAAGAGGAAGAGGAGGAAGAAAAAGAGGGAUGAUUAUCAGAGGAAGAGGAGGAAGAAAAUCAGUCUGGCAUUAUGGAAUACAGGCUUGAGAGGAAGGCCAGUGUGAAUCGAGUGCACGUUCCACGGUAUCGAUCAUGCGAGAUCGUGGCUUGUAUCUUAAAAAUUCACCGGUGAAACCGCGAUAGCCAUCGCGAACAAAGUAGAAACGGGGAUUUUCGUCACGAAACUAGCCUGGGCACGUCGUUCUAUAAAUAUAUAUAUAUAUAUUUUUCGAAGCCAUGAUUGAUAAGAACACAGCAACGUGCACCGAUUCGUCGAUAAUGCACCAUCUUCGUCCGUGUAAAGCGUGAAAUAUUCUUUGAAAAUGAAUUUUUUACAUGAUAAGAAAGAAAACAAAUUUCUACUCGAACGCUAGUAAAAUUUAUAAAGCAUAAACAUCUUUGUUAAUUAGAGAUAAAUCAAAAGGAAAGAUGGAUCUUUGAAUGAUAAAAUCCACCAUCUUGAAAAAAGAAGAAGAAGAAGAAUAUCUUCACAAAACCCGUUUCCAAGGAAUUCCUGUGAGCGUGUUCAAAAGAAAAUAAUUUUCCUGCCGUUGACAAAGAGGCUUCCGGUGGCUUCCAUCUUAAAAGAAGCCGGUAUCGACUCUGGUCGAAGUCGAGCAGAAACUGGUAAACUUUCAGGGUUCGUUUAUCUUAUCCGCGAGAUAACUGUUUUCGCAAGCGAAAGGUCGAUUUUUCCUUUGCGUGGGUCACUAUCGACCCGCUAUCUCGACACGUUUUGUCUCCUCGAUCUGACGUGUUACACAUGCGGCGACGUCACGCGAUCCAUUUCCGGUUCUUAAGGAGAGGGCAAACCGCAGAGCCGAUCUGAUGGGCGUGUAACAAAGCGAGGUAAAUUAGGGUGCUUGCACCCUUAAUUCCUGGCAUUUUGCGCAAUUUUGCGUGUUAAUAAAUAUUAACCCUCGACCUAUAAUACAUAACACGUAUAAAAUUAAUUAUAGAGCGUUUAUAUAAUAAUACGAGAUGAUUGUAUUAACGUGGUGUUGAAUAUAUAUAUAAAAAUAUAUUUUAUAACACGUUUAUGCGAAUAAUUAAAUUGCGAUGAAAUAUAUAACAGGGGUUGCGUGUAACGAUGAAUCCGAAUAUAAAAUUCGAUGAAAUAAAAUCGUUCGAUCGAGGCAUAAAUUGGAUUUAUAAUGAAUUCUCUGUUGAGUAUAAAUUUAUUUUUGUGAUUCGAAAUGACGUUUUUUUCUUCAUCUCGUCGAAAUAAAAAUUAAGGGAUGUUUCAAAAAUGUAGGAUGUUCUUUGAAAUUUAUUUAAAAUAAUAUAAAAAAAAUAUAAAUUGUUCGAUCCCGUGAUAAAAUUAAUCUUCAAAUGAUUUCUUUUCGUUGGUGCACCAUUUUCGAGAAAGUAAUAAGUCACUAUUCUUUUUUUUUUUUUUUUCCUUCACUUUUUUAUUUUUCGAUGUCGAAACCGAGAUUAUUUUCAUGGAGUUUCGUUGCAAAGGUGAAAAGUUAGACUGUUAUUUUCAGAUGGAGAUUGUGCAAACGAUAGUUUGGAAGGUGUUAUAUAGGAGGGCUCUAUUAACAGCGCCCUCUUUUUAAAUUUUAAAUACAUAAAGUUUCUUGAAUAUAACAUGACAGAAAUAUCUAAUUUAUUUGACGUAAGAUUAUAGGUUGACUCUUUCUUUUUUUUCUUUUUUACGUGAGAAAAAUUAUUAAAUAUUUUUUUUUUUAUUUAGAAAAAUAAUAUUAAAUGCUUCGUUAUUUUACUUUAAAAGAAAUAUUAAUUCUUGAAAUAAUAAUUAAAUUUUUCAAAGAGAGUAUUUUGAAGAAAGAAUUCUCAAGUACAUUCCAAGAAAAUAAAAUUAAAAAGUACGAAAUAAUUAUCCUUUCUUAAUAAAUCCGCUCUUGAGAAGAGGUAAAAAAAAGAAAAAUUAAAAGAUAAAAGAUAUAAUAAAACACCGACGAAAUAAUGAAAAUAUUCUCAGCUUCUUAAUUAAGCAAAGGAAAACGGUGUAUGAAACAUUUAACCUUUCCAUGUUAAAAGUAAAUCGAAAAGAAUAAUCUCAACAGAUCUUUUAAAAAAAAAAGAAAAAAAAACUCUCCAUUAUUCCAUGAUUGAAUCAAAUUAAAAACAAAAAAAGAAAAAAGAUCUAUCAUCGGGAGAUAAGUAAAUUGAAUCACAUUUGCAUAAAAAUUUGCACGUUCGAUAAAAAUGCUAAAUCGUUAAUCCACGAAAAAUAAGAUAAAGAUACGCGAGGAUAUUUAAAUCCUUAAUCUUGUUUCGAUUUUUCCACCUUUAUUGUCUUCCUUUUUCUUUGCUCGAGCAUCGGCUUCCUUUCCGAAACGGCGCAGGCUGAUUUGAAUCUCAAGCGGAAGUCUUAAACGAUACAAGAAGCGGCGAAUGUGACUUAAAUCUCGAGCAGGAAAUUUUACGGGGUACAAGCGAAAGAAAAUGUACAGAAGACUCGCGAUUCGAAUACAUAAUCGAUCGGUCGGUAUGUUACCUUCGGAGGAAAUAUUGUUCCUUCACUUGCGAGUGUUGUCUGAAGAAUUUUAUAUGAUAGUUUAUAUUAUAUUAUAUUUCAUAUAUAUAUUAUAAUAUAUAACUUAUAUAUUUGAUUUUUUUUUCUAGAAAAACUAUACAGAAAUUUAUUUUCGAAAUUAUAAUAAAAAUACAAUAUUUGGAAUACGCUUCGUUAUUAGGUUUUAGUUAAUUUUAAUGGAUCUUUAAACAGGCCUAUUAUUAAUUUAAAGGAAAAAUAUAUUUAUGUAUGACAUACUAAUGGAUUAGAUGGCAUCAACAGGCUGUCCCACGAUUUCGUUGAAGGAAUUUAAUUGAAUUUAAUCGCGAUUUAAGCGUCUGGUCCGGACAGUAGCGAGACGACUAGCUGGAUUCGACAAUAGAAUCGUUUUCGACAGACGUGCCAGUCAUUUUCAGCGCGUCUUUCGCCCUCCACCAUUCCACCGGAAAUACGUCGAUUCCUGGGUAUAUCCGCGUCGAGAGCGCCAAGUGUUCAGAUAUCGAAUUCGUGGAAGAUGGUUUACUAUAUUGUUUUUUUUUUCUCUCUAUUUUUCCUCCUCUAUUUUUCCCAAGAUUUUGUGAAAAAUAUAUUGUUUCUUUGAAAUUUUAAAAUUUGGAAAAGAUAUAUUUUUGGAAAAUUUUAAAUCUCUUGUAAUAAAAUUUGAAAUUUUUAUGAAAUGGAUAGAUGGAGAAAGAAAAGAUACGAAAAUUUUGAUUUUUUUACGAUGAAAUUGACACGCGAAAAAGAAAAAUUUAUUUUCUUUCAAAUUUUAGUAAAAUUUUUAUGAUAAAAUUAGAAAUUCAUGUAAAAUUAAAUUUCGGAAAUUUUGAUCUUUUUCUUGUGAUUUGAAAUUUAAAUUUUUCGUGAAAUUGAUACGUGAAAAUGAAAAAGACCUGGUCUUUAAAAUUUAAACAACUAUAUUCCCUAUCCUAUUUCGAUAAUUAACAUUUUAUAUUAUCAAUAUUUCGAUAAGAAAAAAAAACAAAAUUUUCAAUUUUUGUUUUAAUUAAAACUAAACAUAAAUCAAUUAUAAAAAAGAAAAAUUCUUUACAUGUUUAUUAAAAGACACUUUUAUUAUAUUUCAUUCUUGAUUCAUGAUAUAAAAAAAUUUAUGUGUUAAAUUAUUUUUAUUCUUUUUUUUAAUUAAAAGAAAUUGGAAAAUUUGAUAAUGUUUCCCCUGUGUAAUAAAAUGUAACGAGCAUAAUGUAAUUAGUACAAUAUAUGCAGAAGAUUUUAAAAAUGUAAACUGCUGUAUAAUGUAAUACAUUGUAAUUUGUAUGUAAAAUGAA